AGUCGAACGGCAGCACGGGAGCAAUCCUGGUGGCGAGUGGCGAACGGGUGAGUAACAUAUCGGAACGUGCCCGGUAGUGGGGGAUAACCCGGCGAAAGUCGGACUAAUACCGCAUACGACCUACGGGUGAAAGCGGGGGAUCGCAAGACCUCGCGCUAUUGGAGCGGCCGAUAUCAGAUUAGCUAGUUGGUGGGGUAAAGGCCUACCAAGGCGACGAUCUGUAGCUGGUCUGAGAGGACGACCAGCCAUACUGGGACUGAGACACGGCCCAGACUCCUACGGGAGGCAGCAGUGGGGAAUUUUGGACAAUGGGCGCAAGCCUGAUCCAGCCAUGCCGCGUGCGGGAAGAAGGCCUUCGGGUUGUAAACCGCUUUUGUCAGGGAAGAAAAGGUUCGAGCUAAUACCUCGGACUAAUGACGGUACCUGAAGAAUAAGCACCGGCUAACUACGUGCCAGCAGCCGCGGUAAUACGUAGGGUGCAAGCGUUAAUCGGAAUUACUGGGCGUAAAGCGUGCGCAGGCGGUGAUGCAAGACAGAUGUGAAAUCCCCGGGCUCAACCUGGGAACUGCAUUUGUGACUGCAUGACUUGAGUACGGUAGAGGGGGAUGGAAUUCCGCGUGUAGCAGUGAAAUGCGUAGAUAUGCGGAGGAACACCGAUGGCGAAGGCAAUCCCCUGG
rnacentral:rRNA from 1 species